CCUACGGGUUGCACCAGUGGGGAAUAUUGCACAAUGGGCGCAAGCCUGAUGCAGCCAUGCCGCGUGUAUGAAGAAGGCCUCCGGGUUGUAAAGUACUUUCAGCGGGGAGGAAGGUGCUGUGGUUAAUAACCACAGCAAUUGACGUUACCCGCAGAAGAAGCACCGGCUAACUCCGUGCCAGCAGCCGCAGUAAUACGGAGGGUGCAAGCGUUAAUCGGAAUUACUGGGCGUAAAGCGCACGCAGGCGGUCUGUCAAGUCGGAUGUGAAAUCCCCGGGCUCAACCUGGGAACUGCAUUCGAAACUGGCAGGCUAGAGUCUUGUAGAGGGGGGUAGAACUCCAGGUGUAGCGGUGAAAUGCGUAGAGAUCUGGAGGAAUACCGGUGGCGAAGGCGGCCCCCUGGACAAAGACUGACGCUCAGGUGCGAAAGCGUGGGGAGCAAACAGGGUUAGAUACCCUCGUAGUC
rnacentral:rRNA from 1 species